AAAAGCUGCAGCUCAACUGUAGUCCUGCCCAUGAAACUGUUUUACUUGAGUAACCAUGAGGUAGGCGGAAUGUGUAGUGUAGCGGUGAAAUGCUUUAGAUAUUACACAGAAACACCGAUUGGCGUAGGCAGCUUACUAGAGGUUCACUGACGCUGAUGCACGAAAGCGUGGGGAUCAAACAGGAUUAGAUACCCUGGUAGUCCACGCCGUAAACGAUGAUAACUCGCUGUUGGCGAUACACAGUCAGCGGGCUUAGCGAAAGCGUUAAGUUAUCCACCUGGGGGAGUACGCUCGCAAGAGUGAAACUCAAAGGAAUUGACGGGGGCCCGCACAAGCGGAGGAACAUGUGGUUUAAUUCGAUGAUACGCGAGGAACCUUACCUGGGCUUAAAUGUGGAGUGACUGCCGAAGAAAUUUGGUUUUCCGCAAGGACGCUCUACAAGGUGCUGCAUGGUUGUCGUCAGCUCGUGCCGUGAGGUGUCGGGUUAAGUCCCAUAACGAGCGCAACCCUUAUGAUUAGUUGCUAACAGGUCAAGCUGAGGGCUCUAGUCAGACUGCCACCGUAAGGUGUGAGGAAGGUGGGGAUGACGUCAAAUCAGCACGGCCCUUAUGUCCAGGGCUACACACGUGUUACAAUGGUCGAUACAGAGGGCAGCGACCAAGCGAUUGGGAGCUAAUCCGGAAAAGUCGGUCUCAGUUCGGAUCGGAGUCUGCAACCCGACUCCGUGAAGCUGGAUUCGCUAGUAAUCGCGCAUCAGCCAUGGCGCGGUGAAUACGUUCCCGGGCCUUGUACACACCGCCCGUCAAACCGUGGGAGCCGAGGGUACCUGAAGUCUGUGACCGCAAGGAGCGGCCUAGGGUAAAAUUGGUGACUAGGGUUAAGUCGUAACAAGGUAACC
rnacentral:rRNA from 1 species